AGGACAAACGCUGGCGGCGUGCUUAACACAUGCAAGUCGAACGGUUCCCUUUCGGGGGAAUAGUGGCGGACGGGUGAGUAACACGUAGUUAACCUACCCUAGUGUGGGGAAUAACCCCUCGAAAGAGGAGCUAAUACCGCAUAUGUUCCUCGGUGAUAGCCGAGGAAGAAACCCUUCGGGGGCACUUGGAUGGGACUGCGGCGGAUUAGCUAGAUGGUGGGGUAAUGGCCUACCAUGGCGACGAUCCGUAGCUGGUCUGAGAGGACGAUCAGCCACACUGGGACUGAGACACGGCCCAGACUCCUACGGGAGGCAGCAGUGAGGAAUAUUCCACAAUGGGCGCAAGCCUGAUGGAGCGACGCCGCGUGGGGGAAGACGCCUUUCGGGGUGUAAACCUCUUUUCUCGGGGAUGAAACGUGCGGUUUGUAACCGUACUAAGACAGUACCUGAGGAAUAAGCAUCGGCUAACUACGUGCCAGCAGCCGC
rnacentral:rRNA from 1 species